rnacentral:miRNA from 1 species
CUUCCCUGUGUGCUUCCUCUUCAGCUCCCUCGCGCACCGCACUGAUACCGGAGCCGGAAGAUGACGUCAUUUUCCGGCGCCGGCAUCCCUAUGCGGCGCGCAAGGGAGCUGAAGAGGAAGCACACAGGGGAG